CGGCGAACGGGUGAGUAACACGUGAGCAACCUGCCCCUGACUCCGGGAUAAGCGGUGGAAACGCCGUCUAAUACCGGAUACGACCCUCUUCCGCAUGGUCGAGGGUGGAAAGUUUUUCGGUCGGGGAUGGGCUCGCGGCCUAUCAGCUUGUUGGUGGGGUAACGGCCUACCAAGGCGAUUACGGGUAGCCGGCCUGAGAGGGCGACCGGCCACACUGGGACUGAGACACGGCCCAGACUCCUGCGGGAGGCAGCAGUGGGGAAUAUUGCGCAAUGGGCGAAAGCCUGACGCAGCGACGCCGCGUGGGGGAUGACGGCCUUCGGGUUGUAAACCUCUUUUACCACUCACGCAGGCUCCGGGUUCUCCCGGGGUUGACGGUAGGUGGGGAAUAAGGACCGGCUAACUACGUGCCAGCAGCCGCGGUAAUACGUAGGGUCCGAGCGUUGUCCGGAAUUAUUGGGCGUAAAGAGCUCGUAGGCGGCGUGUCGCGUCUGCUGUGAAAGACCGGGGCUUAACCCCGGUUCUGCAGUGGAUACGGGCAUGCUAGAGGUAGGUAGGGGAGACUGGAAUUCCUGGUGUAGCGGUGAAAUGCGCAGAUAUCAGGAGGAACACCGGUGGCGAAGGCGGGUCUCUGGGCCUUACCUGACGCUGAGGAGCGAAAGCAUGGGGAGCGAACAGGAUUAGAUACCCUGGUAGUCCAUGCCGUAAACGUUGGGCGCUAGGUGUGGGGACUUUCCACGGUUUCCGCGCCGUAGCUAACGCAUUAAGCGCCCCGCCUGGGGAGUACGGCCGCAAGGCUAAAACUCAAAGGAAUUGACGGGGGCCCGCACAAGCGGCGGAGCAUGUUGCUUAAUUCGACGCAACGCGAAGAACCUUACCAAGGUUUGACAUCACCCGUGGACCUGCAGAGAUGUGGGGUCAUUUAGUUGGCGGGUGACAGGUGGUGCAUGGCUGUCGUCAGCUCGUGUCGUGAGAUGUUGGGUUAAGUCCCGCAACGAGCGCAACCCUUGUUCCAUGUUGCCAGCACGUAGUGGUGGGGACUCAUGGGAGACUGCCGGGGUCAACUCGGAGGAAGGUGGGGACGACGUCAAGUCAUCAUGCCCCUUAUGUCUUGGGCUGCAAACAUGCUACAAUGGCCGGUACAAUGGGCGUGCGAUACCGUGAGGUGGAGCGAAUCCCUAAAAGCCGGUCUCAGUUCGGAUUGGGGUCUCAACUCGACCCC
rnacentral:rRNA from 1 species